rnacentral:rRNA from 1 species
GUGCCAGCAGCCGCGGUAAUACAGAGGGCCCGAGCGCUACGCGGAUUCACUGGGCUUAAAGGGUGCGUAGGCGGAGGCGUAAGUGCCUCGUGAAAUCCCACGGCUCAACCGUGGAAUUGCGGGGCAUACUGCGUCUCUUGAGGCUGGUAGGCGCUGCCGGAACUGUAGGUGUAGCGGUGAAAUGCGUAGAUAUCUACAGGAACGCCGAUGGUGAAGACGGGCAGCUGGGCCAGUUCUGACGCUGAGGCACGAAAGCGUGGGGAUCAAACAGGAUUAGAAACCCCAGUAGUCC